GGAUUCUACCAUUGGUCGGGCAAUAGUCUGUACUGGUGUGUAGAAUUUCUACCUUCUGGGGAACUAUCAUGUUAUUUAUUUAGCGUGGUAGGAAACCAGGACCUUUACCUUGAAAAAAUUAGAGUGUUCAAAGCAGGCUUACGUCUGAAUACAUUAGCAUGGAAUAAUAAAAUAGGACGG
rnacentral:rRNA from 1 species